CGGGACGGGUGAGUAAUGUCUGGGAAACUGCCUGAUGGAGGGGGGUAACUACUGGAAACGGUAGCUAAUACCGCAUAACGUCGCAAGACCAAAGAGGGGGACCUUCGGGCCUCUUGCCAUCGGAUGUGCCCAGAUGGGAUUAGCUAGUAGGUGGGGUAACGGCUCACCUAGGCGACGAUCCCUGGCUGGUCUGAGAGGAUGACCAGCCACACUGGAACUGAGACACGGUCCAG
rnacentral:rRNA from 1 species